rnacentral:rRNA from 1 species
GGGGAAUCUUGCACAAUGGGGGAAACCCUGAUGCAGCGACGCCGCGUGAGCGAUGAAGCCCUUCGGGGUGUAAAGCUCUUUCGGCAGGAACGAUUAUGACGGUACCUGAAGAAGAAGCUGCGGCUAACUACGUGCCAGCAGCCGCGGUAAUACGUAGGCAGCAAACGUUGUUCGGAGUUACUGGGCGUAAAGAGUACGUAGGCGGUUUGCCAAGUUUGGUGUGAAAUCUCCUGGCUUAACUGGGAGGGUGCGCCGAAUACUGGCGAGCUUGAGUGUUGGAGAGGGGAGCGGAAUUCCUGGUGUAGCGGUGAAAUGCGUAGAUAUCAGGAGGAACACCGGUGGUGUAGACGGCUCCCUGGACAACCACUGACGCUGAGGUACGAAAGCGUGGGUAGCAAAC